GAGGGUAGAGCUCAGUGGUAGAGGGUGUACCUAGCAGGCAUGAGGUCCUGGGUUCAGUCCCCAGUACCUUCA
rnacentral:tRNA from 1 species